AUUAAAAAUGUAUUUUUUUUGCUAGAGUAGUAUUAGUUAAGGUCUUGAAACUCAAAAAAUUUGGCGGUAUUUUAGUCUAUUUAGAGGAACCUGUACUGUAAUCGAUAGUCCACGAUGGAUCUUACUUAAAUUUGUUUUUCAAUUUGUAUACCGCCGUUAUUUGAAAAUUUUAUAAGAAUAAUAAUUUUCAAGAUUUUUAUAAGAAAAUAAAUCAGGUCAAGGUGCAGUUUAUAUUUAAGAUUUUAUGGGUUACAAUAAAUUUAUUUAUACGGAUUAGGUUUUGAAAUUAACUUAUGAAGGUGGAUUUAAUAGUAAAUUUUUAAAGAUAAAGGAAUUGAUU
rnacentral:rRNA from 1 species